UGAGGGAUGAGCUUCCAAGGACCAAGAAGCAGUUUUAGCAGCAGCUGCUUCUACCCCUUCCAGUUGUCUGCUUUUGUUGAGCUGUGACAAUGAUGUUGGACAUUCACGUUCCUCUGAUUCUUUGUAUUUAUUAUCAUUUUAUGGAGCUGCUAUUUUAUAGUUCAUAUUCGUGAUCUGCAAUUUUCAGUUGCAUUAGGUAUGUCUUUGAGUCCUGUUCUUAGUAUCUAUGCAUACUUCCUUUUUGCAUAUGGUGUUGGAGGAUUAACUCUUUUCUUUUGAAGGUUGUCAUAUUGCUUUUGCACUGUUUUGAUGAUAAAUUACUGCUCAGUACAUUAGAUUUUUUGUUCAUAUGUAGAUACUUAUAUAAUUUCCUGUUUUUCCUUAAGAAUCUGCAUCUAAUUUGUACUUAGUUUCUGAACUCCCUUGUGCAGGACUUGGCACUCUCACCCUUAAGGUUUUGUGGAUAAUCUUCAUCUUGUUCUGUGACAGUUUCAAUUUUUUAUAUCAUUUAAUCCUAUAGUAUUGAUAUAUAUUGGUAGAUAUAGAUAUCAAUCUUUUUCUCCUGUUUUUCUUUUAAUGCAAAUCUCAAAUUACAGAGAUCACUUUGUGUGAUCUAACCCGUAUUCUUGCUGGUUUUAUCUUUGAUGUUUUUGUUUUCUGAGACAAAGUAUGUUGUCUCGGCUGGCCUGGAACUCUAUGUAGACCAGGCUGGCCUGGAAUUCACAUAGAUCCACCUGCCUCUGCCUGGGAUUAAAGGCAUGUCCUAUUGUGCUAGGCUUGAUGGCGCUUUAGAACACUAAUUUCAUUUUCUAAUUCCUCAGUUUGUUUUGUAAGUAGUUCGUGGUGUUUAGUUUGUCUUUUAUGUAAAUUAACUGUAUCUGGGACCUUUAGAGAAGAGACAUUAGCGAAUCCUCAGUUACUGGUUCAGAUGAUUAUGUCAUUGGGGUCUUCCUGGCAUUUCUUUCUUUUCUGAUUAGUCAUUUCUUCCAACUUAUCAGCCGAUAAUGUCACUCCUAUCAUAUCUUUUCUAAACACUGUUAUGCUGGAUUGGCUGAGACUGAAUAUUCUUUGUAUUCAGAAAGUUUUCACAUUGAUAAGGCUACAACAUUGACAAGUUAGUAGAGUAAUCUGUUGUCAGUCCAAAGACAUCUUGCAUAAUUUCUUGAUUCAUAGCAGCAUUCAGGAAGGCUGUUCUCUCCUCCUGUCAAUAGCUUGUACAUAAGCAUUUGUAAGAGUUCAGUAUAAUUUUCACUGACAGCCAGUGUAUGCAGUCUUUGUUUCUUACUUUAACAUUCACUUGAUGAUCAAAGGUUGUGUGGAGUAGAGAACACAGUUGCUGAACAUUCAUGAUGUCUGGGGUCAGCACUGCUCUCCAGUGGAACAGAGAGGAGGUAUGCUCUUUCCUUGACAUUGUAGAGUCUUCAUCAGACUGCACUACUCAUGGAUAGUCAGACACACAAGCGAGAUAGAGAGUAAUUGGGAGUGCAGAUAAUCCCCAAGAAGCUGCAUCACUGAAAAGUCCCAUCGUGUCAUGGAUUUUUGACCUCAUGGAAGUCACAUUAAGGAAUACCUGUUUUUCAACUUUCUAUACACUCCUGAGCCUCAUGCUAGUUAGCAUUCAAGCUGAAUCUUUCAGCAUUCAGUUAACAUAGAAACAAGACUUCUGUUUUAGGUGCUGGAGAGAUGAAUCAGCAGUUAAGAGCUCUUGUUGGGUUGGGUUCCCAGCACCCACUUAAUUAACACAGCUCACAAGCCUCUCUAACGCCACCUUCAGGGGAUCUGGUACCUUAGGCCCCUGUGGGCACCUGCACUCACACAGAUAUAACGAUAUUCAGACAUACACAUGUAUACAUAAUUAAAAAUAAGUUUUUCAUUUCAAAAAGGCUCUUGUUGAAGUUGGGUAUGGCAGUAUUCACCUGUAAUCUCAGCAUCUGGGAAGCAAAGGCAGGAAGAUCAGGAGUUCUGAGCCAACUAGUUAGCAUACAUGUCAACGACAAAAGUGUAGCUAAUAAGAAUAAAAACACAUAAACAAUAAAAAAAUAAAGACUCCUGAUAGUACUGUAAAUCCAAUAUUUUUUAAGGAUGUCUUUCUUUAAGAAUACCUUCUUGUGGGGUUGGGGAUUUAGCUCAGUGGUAGAGCACUUGCCUAGCAAGCGCAAGGCCCUGGGUUCGGUCCCCAGCUCUGAAAAAAGGAAAAAAAAAAAAAAAAGAAUACCUUCUCGUACAUUCUGAAAUAUUCUGAAAAAGUUAAGUCUGUGCCUCCCGUAUUCCGUUAGAAUUAACUUUAUUAUAUGAUAGAACAUCAGGAGCACAGCCAGAAACUUUAGCUAAGGCUAAAUGCUCUGGGUUCCAUACUGAUAACGUCCUUCCCUGGAGUUUCUGCUAGUGUCCUUGCCUGGGAUAAGGGCUUUUAAUAACUGUGUUUGAAUUUUGCUUUAAAACCAUUUUAACUUAAAAGUGGAGCGGGUGUGGUAAACUGCAAGUCCCUUUCCACAUAAAGAUUCUAUUUCCCCCUCCCCCUAGCUUUUUUGCAAUUUUCAUCCUUGGAUUUCUUUUGGUUGGUUGAUUUGUUUGCCGGACUGGGAACUGAACACAGGGCCUUGUACAUGCUAGGGAAGCACUCCACCAACUGAGUUGCUCCCUCAGCCCUUUCUGUAGUUCCCUUCAAAACAAGUCUUUGGAUUCUAAGAAGCACUCCUUGGUUGUAAAAGGUCUGUGCAACCAACCAAGUCUUUGAAGCUCAGUGAAGGAAGCUUGCCUUUCUCUCAGUCCACAAGUCAUUUAAGUUCAUGUAUUUUGAUUUUGGCUCUUUGGUCCCAGAGUUGUAUUUUGGGACAGUCACCACCAAGUUGUUACUAAGGCCAUCUUUUUGUUGUCUUUUCAUUUCAUGGAAGACUCUAACUCCUAACUUGAUUGAAACCACUGUCUUUUUGACUCAGCAGGCAGCCUAGGCCUUGGCUGAAUGAAGGGGUAAGUCCUUCCAUGCAUGAUGGUGUGCAGGUUUUCCUGACUGCCGAGUUUCUAAUUUUUCAUAUGUGAAUUCACGUGUGUGGCUUCAUCACCAUAACUUGCCUCCUAAAUACUCUUAGCUUGUUAGGAAAGAAAGGAACUAGAUUUGCUUAAAUCUGUUCAAGACUGACAUUCUGAAAUUUUAAACUGGACAUGACAGGAUUUGUAGUAAUAAUCGUGCAGGUCUAAUGUAGAUCUUUGGGAAAGAAAUUUCUUUUAUGAAGACAGGGUUUUUUUUUGUUUGGGGUUUUGUUGUUUUUUUGUUUUUAAGAAAAAAAAAACCCAGCUUUUUAAAAAGCUUAUUCAAGUGAACCUUUGUUUUGUUGGUUUUGUUUUUCUUAGUUGGAAAGAGAGGAGUCCAUUACACGGAAAAAGGAAGGGUGGUUCAUUAUUAUGAGUAAGGCUACUUCCCACAUAAUGGGACCCUUCCUCUCGUCCUUUUAAACUGAGAAUGUCAGUCGUGAGCUUAGUGUUUAAGCGGUUGUCACUUGCAGCUGUUUGCAUGAUUAGUCUUGUGUGUCCCAAUAGUUUGCUUUUCUGUGCCAGUUCAAAAUAACAUUUUUGCUAAGAACACUUAAAAUUAACUGAUAAUCAGUUUUGUUUUGAUUUACCUGGUUGUGUGUAGUAUUUCUGGGACCAAAAAUUUCCUUAAACUACUGAGCUUUUAAAAACAAAACAAAAAACAAAACAAAAAAAAAAAAAAAACAAAACUCUCAGUCUGUGAAGCCGGAGAGACCAUUUUUGUGCUUUAAUCCUGUCAUGACUGGUAGGCAGGUUCUUGUGCACACUUCCCCCUCUCUGAUUGCAGCAUGUGGUGUGUUUGAAAUACGUCCCUUUCUGCUUCACAACUCUAGUGUCAACACUAUAAGUAGACUGCAGCUGUGUUACACAUUUUAGCUACACAGUCUAAUAAACUAUACAGGACCUUGAACUAAGCUUAUGUGCAAAGGCCAUAUUAGUCACGUUUCAUGUCUUUGAACAUGUAUGGUGUUGUGAAAAACAUUCUACACUAGAAAAAUACGGUGCUUCAACCCUCGGAUAUUUGAGCAACAAUUCAGUCUGUUCUUGGCCAUCAAACACUUUGGCACAGCUCACCACUGUUACUUUCUUGAGAAAAGUCGAUUUUGUUUUACUUAGAGCAUAUGUUCUGGUCAUUGAAAACCAAACAGUUAUGAUGGAGGGUUGUAAGGCAACAAUAGUAAGUUUACAAAGUAGUCAUUUGCUACAAGGCCUUCGCUUAGCCAAAUUACUGCUCACUGCAACCCUCACAGAGCUUCCCACUUACUCUCUGACCCUUGCUAGAAGGGCGGGAUCUUGAAGCACCUGUUAAUCUUCCCCCUCCUGCUUCCCGCACUUGUGAAACUCAGUGCUUGCUAGGUGUUUGAAGACUUUACCAUCCAUAGGCUGGGGCUUGUUGUGUUACUUGUCAGAUAAGUAUUAGUUUAUAAACCGUUUGUUGGGCUAGUGGUACCCAGGCCCUUAUGCAAGAUAAAAUCUUGAUUAUCUCCUUUUACAUUAGAGGAGAUGUAGUAUUUAGAACACUCUAAGAUAUUAUGUUUUAUGUUCCUGAAGCUAUCUUGCUCAUGUUCAAGUUACUAAUUGUUUAAAUGUAAGUUUUCAAUAAACGUAUUUCUUUAGA
rnacentral:lncRNA from 1 species